CGCACAUGAAACUGCAUGCCACCUCCUCCAGAGGGUGGCUCAGGACACGCCUAACGGAAUUAGAGUAUUCGCUGGUUAUCCGGAUCAGAAGGGACGGUGGCCUGGCCGGACUUAGAGGAAACUCUGGGGCACAAGGAGGUGAUGCCUGUCACUCUUGGACAUGGGUGCAGCCGCCAGAGCCGCCCUCCAGGGCACAGGGUGGGCCCGGGUGAGCUUGUGUGCUCACACCUGGGCAGGCCCCGCGGCAGCAAUGGCAGCUCUCCUGUACAGGCUGAGUUUCAGCCACACCAAGAAGUCAAAGCUAACUGAGGCCGUGCCUUCCGAGACCCCCGGGAUGGCCCCUGGGAGGCCAAGGAGUCAGGGACUGGGUACCUGGAGCAGAGUCACUGUGGCCACGGAGAACCACAGCUGAGCUUUAUGAAGCCACGUGGCCACACCUCCCGGUGCCUCCACCCCAAGCAAACACAGAUCGCUCAGAAAAUGGGAACCCAGGGCAAAUUGUAUGUGCUCCUUAC
rnacentral:lncRNA from 1 species